rnacentral:lncRNA from 1 species
UCCUACAUUGUGCCUGUGAGGUAGGAAACCAGAAAUAGUCAGUGAACAUGUGAAUGACUGUUCACUUCCCCACUCCAGGGCCUGCGACCUUGCUGUUCUCUCAUCUUGGUAUGAUGUUCCUUCACCUCUGCACAGAGCUGGCUCCUUUUCAUCCUUUGGUUCUAGAAUUUCCCUUAGAGAACUUCUGUGGUCAGAAUUGCAUGUCUUGUCAGGAUUGUUGUACAGAAGAUAUGGAAUAGUGCCA